rnacentral:rRNA from 1 species
UACAGAGGCCCCAAGCGUUAUCCGGAAUCACUGGGCGUAAAGGGUGUCCAGGCGGCCCUGUUAGUCGUUCGUAAAAUCCGCGCGCUUAACGUGCGGCUCGCGAACGAAACGGCAGGGCUCGAGGGCGCGAGAGGUGCAUGGAACUCAUGGUGGAGGGGUGAAAUCCGUUGAUAUCAUGGGGAACACCAAAGGCGAAGGCAGUGCACUGGCGCGUUCCUGACGCUCACACACGAAAGCCAGGGGAGCGAACGGG